GACGAACGCUGGCGGCGUGCCUAAUACAUGCCAGUAGAACGCUGAAACUUGGUGCUUGCACCGAGCGGAUGAGUUGCGAACGGGUGAGUAACGCGUAGGUAACCUGCCUGGUAGCGGGGGAUAACUAUUGGAAACGAUAGCUAAUACCGCAUAAGAGUAGAUGUUGCAUGACAUUUGCUUAAAAGGUGCAAUUGCACCACUACCAGAUGGACCUGCGUUGUAUUAGCUAGUUGGUGGGGUAACGGCUCACCAAGGCGACGAUACAUAGCCGACCUGAGAGGGUGAUCGGCCACACUGGGACUGAGACACGGCCCAGACUCCUACGGGAGGCAGCAGUAGGGAAUCUUCGGUAAUGGACGGAAGUCUGACCGAGCAACGCCGCGUGAGUGAAGAAGGUUUUCGGAUCGUAAAGCUCUGUUGUAAGAGAAGAACGAGUGUGAGAGUGGAAAGUUCACACUGUGACGGUAUCUUACCAGAAAGGGACGGCUAACUACGUG
rnacentral:rRNA from 1 species